CCUACGGGUGGCAGCAGUGGGGAAUCUUGCACAAUGGGGGAAACCCUGAUGCAGCGACGCCGCGUGAGUGAAGAAGUAAUUCGGUACGUAAAGCUCUAUUAGCAGGGAAGAAAAUGACGGUACCUGAGUAUGAAGCCCUUGCCAACUACGUGCCAGCAGCCGCGGUAAUACGUAGGGGGCAAGCGUGCUCCGGAAUUACUGGGUGUAAAGGGAGCGUAGACGGUGCGCCAAGUCUGGCGUGAAAUGCCGCGGCUUAACUGCGGAGCUGCUUUGGAAACUGGCGAACUAGAGUGCGGGAGAGGUAAGCGGAAUUCCAAGUGUAGCGGUGAAAUGCGUAGAUAUUAGGAGGAACACCAGUGGCGAAGGCGGCUUACUGGACCGUAACUGACGUUGAGGCUCGAAAGCGUGGGGAGCAAACAGGAUUAGAUACCCGAGUAGUC
rnacentral:rRNA from 1 species